GAGGGGGUGACUAGUGACAGAGUGAGGGAGCGGGUGACACAGUGACAGAGUGAGGGAGGGAGUGACUAGUGACAGAGAGACCCCCUUCCUCACUCUGUCACUAGUCACUCCCUCCCUCUGUCACUAGUCACUCCCUCACUCUGUCACUAGUCACUCCCUCACUCUGUCACUAGUCACCUCUUCCCUCCAUCACUUUGCCACUAGUCAUCUCUUCCCUC